AUUUAGUAUCUAAAAUUAGACCCGAAGCCUAGUGAUCUUACCAUAGUCAGGGUUAUAAAAGCCCGAACGGGUUAUCGUUGUAAAGAUAUCCGAAGAACCGUGGUAAGUUAGUGAAAGACAAUACUGACUAGGAUAGCUGGUUUUCUGCGAAACCUAUAUAAGUAGGUAAUUCAAAUUACAUCAUAGCAGGUACAGAACUGUGAUCUCAGGCAACUUUUAAUAUAUUAUAAUUUUUU
rnacentral:rRNA from 1 species